rnacentral:rRNA from 1 species
UACAGGGGGGGCAAGCGUUGUUCGGAAUUACUGGGCGUAAAGGGCCAGUAGGCGGCCAACUAAGUCCGACGUGAAAUCCCCAGGCUUAACCUGGGAACUGCGUCGGAUACUGGAUGGCUUGAAUUCGGGAGAGGGAUGCAGAAUUCCAGGUGUAGCGGUGGAAUGCGCAGAUAUCAGGAAGAACACCAACGGCGAAGGCAGCUCGCUGGGACGGUACUGACGCUGAGACGCGAAAGCGUGGGGAGCGAACAGG